AAAUCUAAAUAACAACAUUUUUAUGUCUUAAUACAGAUAUUAUUAUGUACAGGUCGCGUUGGUACAUGUGCGAAACUGUCCUUACUUGUUGUCGGUAUGUUGCGUAGUUAGAGCAAACUGAAAUUAUUCCACUAUGCUAUUAUGAAUAACUCCAUCAGACUUGUUGUAAGAUAUGAGAUGGUGUGCUCUUUUACCUGCUUU
rnacentral:lncRNA from 1 species